CUUCCCAAUCCAACACUUGCAUGAAGGGCAGAAACUCCUCUCUCCACUCCUCUGUCAUCUAUCACAGCUCCCAUCCCUUGGUGGCACUGCUGGCUCAGCCCUCCCUGCAGAGGGAUCUCCAGCAGUUUCUCCUCGGUCCUCCCCAUUUCCUUGAAUGAGCUGCUUUCCAAGUGAAGCUUCAUGCAGGAGGCUUCAUGAUAGCAUCCAGAGUACAUGUCCCAAGUAUGUCCAGCCCCAUCUUCUGAUCCUAGUGCAGAGCAGCUCCCGACAGAUGACAGUAGCUGUCCUCCUUCAAUACUGAGGAAAAGGCCACCUGUGGACCAGGCUGUGGGGGAAAAGCGGAAAGCAGAGAGAAGGGUUCGAUUUCGUGAGCCGGAAGAAGUCAUUGAGCAUGUACAUGACAGGUCUUCACCUGGAUUGCCUAUGCUCCUGGGGCUAUCAUUUUGUGUGGUACUGAUCCUGGCUGCAAGUCUCUUCUACACCAGCAUGAAGCAAGAUACCAAAGUCCUGGAAGAGUUUCAAUCCCGACUUGUUAUCUUCUUUCUUCAGAUAAGACACAUUGCUCAUAGAUGCUGGACCUGGUUUACAAGGUAGUAGCGAUGUCCUCCAUUUGCAGGAAGGCAGCACUGAUAAUCACCACGUGUCAGAGAGAACCUCCCAGCCCCCUCAGUCCACACGUAAGGAACACAUGAGUAUCCACCUUGAAGAGCAAAAAAAGCCACCCAUUUUGUGCACUUUCUAACAUCUACUUGUUCUCUCUUUUUUAAAAUAUAUAUAUUUUUUAAUAUUUCUGAAUGAUAGUAGUAGCACUAAGAGGUCCCACCAAACUGAUGUUCCAUCACCCUUAGCAGCAAACAAGGGUAUGAGUUUAGUCCCCUGAAGAGACUAUAAACUGUUGCUAUAAGGAGCAGAGGCAGAGAGAGAAAUUCAUUGAUCUGUGCACACAGAAGCACAUUGAAUAGAAGUCUCCUGAGUCUCAGGUCAAAGAAUAAACACCAAACCAUUUUUCUCCUCAAGCCUCUUACGUGCUAUUCUGCAAAGUUUAACAUAAAGCUGAACUAUUGCACAAACACUGCUCUGCUGGCCAAAGGCUUGGCAAGCUGCUAUAUUUAUAUACUUGAAAUGAUUGCUAGUAAAAAUCUCAGCAAAUGGCUUUCUUGUUUCCCUUCAUGCAUUUUUUCCUCUGUGGGCAAAAGCUGUUCCUUAAUGUUUCACUUGACUCCCAGGUGUGAAAAAUAACGUGAGAACUCAUUUAAAUACUAAACAGUGCAUUUGCCUAACACAAUACAGGGCAGCAUUGAAUCCCAGGUUAAUUAUCAAAUCAGAACUUAAUCCUCUUGGUUUGAUUCAGUCCAUAAACCCAAGAUUUAUGGUUGUGUUUGUCUUCAGUCGAAGCUUUCACAUUUAUGCCUGCAUGUUCAAGGGUAUUAUAGACUGUUUACAAAGGUGUUGGGUCAAAGCCCUGUUAUCUCUGUUGUAGCACCAUACAGCGUACCUCUCUGGAGGGAACCAAGCAUAUGCAAUCUUAUGAGCUUCAGCUAUGCUUUGUUCUUAGAAUCACAUAAUUGCUCAGGUUGGAAAAGACCUUCAAGAUCAUCAAGUCAACCACAGACAGAAACAGCAUGAUCCAUUUUCCAGGCCCUACAUUCUUGUCGAGUAAUACUUGAUAUAUGCAUAAGGGUGACAGCAGAGCCCAUAGAAGCUGAAGAAAAGAAAGGAAACAGUGGAGAAGAGGAAAGAGAUGCCUGCAAGACCUUGGCUUUAACUCCUCUGCCACAGUAAUGCACCAGAAGGAAAAAAAAAAAAAGAUUCCUAACCAACUUUCAAAAAAAGCAAGCUUGUCCAGGCUGCCCAAAAAUUUAAACCAGACAGAGGGUAAAAGAAAACCAAUUACAUAGCCUCCACCUAGAGCAGAGUGGGCAGCAAGUUGACCAAUAACGAGUACAAAUAUAUAUAUUUGUAGACAGUAAGAAGUGACUUGAGCAGCUAUUCUCAUGCUCUGAAGGCAACAGCAAUUGCACCUGGGGAGCUGCUGGUCUGGGACACACAGGGCACUGCAGGAGCGUUUGGCUCAGUGGCUCUUUAUGCAAACCACUCAUGCACCCCAGCCCUCAGGGUAAGUCCCCUGAGGCUUCCCUGCUCUCUCUCUCUCUCUCUCUCUCUCCACUCAGCCCACUGUUGAGAUAAUAAAGAAGAGGUUUUAAACUUAUGCUCUGGUGAAUCUAUGGUGGGAAGGUUUUUUUCUGAAGAGUCAGUUCCUGCACUGCAAGUUGUGGUAUACUGCAACAUAGAAAGGCAAGGCCUGACAGGAGCUGGAUCACUUAGCGGGAGAGCAGUACCACAAAUCCUUCCUGCGUGCUUCAAUGCAGUUUCAGUAACUUGAAAAGAAGCCAAGGGGUUAAAAUUAACCAGGAACUCCUUUUAGGACUGUGAGGGAUGAUAUGAAAUCCAUAUGCAUGUUAAUAUGCAUGGGGCCUCCUUCUUCUAGCCCUGGUCAAGGUGGAAAAUAGCCACGCUGACCUUGCUGUGCCCAGGUUUAUCUGUGUGAGAGGCCCACACUGAGAAUGGCUAUCACAUCCAGGUUGUCAAGGGAAAUAAAGCAGAGGAGCAGCUAUUCCUGGCUCCGGCUAGGACAGCUUUGGGCACAGGCAAUAGCAGCACUUGAGUUGUCUGCAGCUUCCCCAUGUUUUUGGGAGGCUUCCUGGGCCGGGAUUCUUUGCUGCAAUCAGUCAGGUAUUUGGCAAAAUGCAGAGAGCCAAAAGAAUGCAUUGUAGAGUACCAGCAGACAGCCUGAAACAAAUAAAAGCUAAAAUCUGUCCCUGGGAGAGCAGUGACCUUUUACAGCUGAAGAAUCUGCAGCUGAGAAAGCCAGUGCCUCUGUGCAAGUGAAUGAAGCAGGUCAAUAGCCAGGGUGGAAAUAGGAGUUAAAGUCCUGACCUCUAGGCCUGCCUUUAGUUACCAAUGCACAGCUCCACUGUAGACUUACCUGUUUUAUUUUCUCCUUGCACUGAAGCACUUGUCCCCUCAAACCAUUCUGCUUACACACAGCACCAUUCUCAUACUCUGUUCUUUAUCCAUCACACAUCUGUGCAUACUGCUGUGAGUCAGAGAGGGUUUCUCCUUGCUCUUGCUCAACACUGCUUUCUUAGGUGUGACACCUUGGUGAGUUUGGAGGAGAUGACCUCUGAAUUUAUACAGAAUGGGUUGUGUUGGUUACUGUUUCCCUUGCAGGCUGUGCUGGGUAAUAUUUUCCUCCAGUAUGACUCCUGAGAAUUGCUUUAUAAGGAGGAAAACAAACGGAGAGGGAUGUAAUAAUGAUAAUGUAAUAAAUGGUCAAACGUUCACAUGAAUUCACUGCGGUGCCAACAUGAAGACUAACUAAAACUCAGCUAUCUCUGAGCAAUUAUUUAGUCUAUCGUGGAAAUGUCAUUUUUUUGCAUCAAGUUGCAGAGAGGAGCGACAGACUCUUGCAGCAAGUUUUGAAGAAGGCUGCAAAUAAGUAGGCUUGCUAUGAGCACUGUCUGGAUUGGUAAGAAUCCAAGGGACAGAAGAGAGCAGAGAGUUCUGUGCACGAAAAGAGGCCUAAGGGCAGAAGUGCUCCUUACUAUCCUUUAUGCAAUGGGUGUUAAAUUCAUGCAUAGCAGGAAUCAGCAGAUCAUGGCAGUGUUGUUCUGACAAUGUGCAGUGCAUUCCUGCAGCAGAAACAGAGGGCAGCUGCCAGCACCCUCUUCAGGCAGGCUCACCCCAUCAGCACCACCUGAUUGCAUUAGCUGGCAUAGCCAUUCCCAUAUGAUUACAGGAGGUAGAAAAGCACACAGUGAGAUGACACUAGAUUUUUUGUGUGUUAACCUCUUAACACACUUUGCAUUCAUGUUUGCAGCUCCAAAGUCUGCUUCUAGUCCUGCUCUACUGCUUCACCUCUCCAGCACUGUGAGUCUGGAAACAAGUUAAGGAGCACAAGCAGUCUGUGGCAGACAUUUUAGUUGUUUCUGCCUUUUACCACUUCAAAGCAAGCUGAAGGUUGGCAGCAUGUGACUACACAAAAAAAAGAAAAGCAUUGCAGCUACCCUAAAGAAAUAGCUCAGGAGCCUCCAAGAUUAUAGAGUGGACUCCUUUCUCACUAUUUCUUUCUCCACAGUGGCUGUUGGGAUUUAGUCUCACUCCUGGAGAGAAAGGCUGCUGCUACAGGAAGAAAAUUAGUCAGUUGACAAUUAGAAGAUUAACCCGCCCAUGCAACCUGUAAUAGCCCUUUACACUUGGUAACAAGCUGACCUUCAGCCACAUCCUGACACAGGAUCUUCUUCUCUUUGCCGCCUUUAGCAUUAGAGUUCACUGCUGGAAGAUGGUGAAAGGGCUCAGCUUAGGAGGUUGGUCACAUUGUUGACCAUAGGAGCUGCAGCAAGGAGAUUCCAAGGAAUGACUGCAUAAACCAGGAUUACACCAGUAACUCUGGUAACCAUUUUUUAACCAACAUAGUAAUAAUUUCAAUUCACCCUCAAAAAAAAAAAGGCACAGAAAUACUAACUUUUCAAAUAGUUUAUUUGUAUAUAUCAACAAAUCAUAAAAAGCCAAUGCACUGUCCAGCAAAAAGCAUCAAUAUAUAAAACACAUUUAAUCGUUAUCAGUAAUACUUGAGUAUACCACUUACACUGAGCCCAGUCCAGCUCCCUACUAAAGCCAAAGGAAACAUUGUCAAUGACUCCGUUAGCAGAAGGAUUGGACUUGCAAUUUCUAUUUGCCAGGUGUUUACAAAUGCUUGCAUUAAAAUACUAGUAUAAAGUUUCCCCUUUGAGACUGUAUCAAAACAACGAUAAGUUUAACUCCAAUUCUGUUUCUGUCAAAUGCAUGCAAUUAAUGCUCCAGAUCAGCACUCGUUACACUGCAGGAGAGCAUACAAAGCAUGAGAAAGAAUAUUCAAAACAGAGCAAGCUCUACCCUCAGCUUGUGUGGACUGGCAUGGCUCCAACGAGGCUUACAAAGCUAAGCUGCAUACACCAGCUAAAGAUCUGUCCCAAUCCUACUUUCAGCAGUUAAACAAAUUGUCAAAGUCUGGAGACCUCAAAAACAAAUUAUGAGAAGCUGAGCGGUCCAAGCUAAGGCUGAAACUGGCAUCAGCACUGCCAGCCCAGGCUCUGCCACACUGGACCCCUCACGUCAUAGCCUGAAUGCUGAAAUCCCUCACAGGAAGAACACUAACAGUUCUCAUUAUCUAUUUUUAUUCUGACUUACGGCACUCUCCUACCCCCUUUAGCUAUCCUUGUUCCUGAUAGGAAGAGAUGUGAGAAACAAGGCCUGAUUAGCCUGGUGGCAAUAAAACUCUGUAAUGUUUCCAAGAGUGUUUUUAGAGAAGAAAGGAUUCAGGGGAAGGAGAUGUCAGUGGAACUGGAUUAUUUUUCUUUAUAAACCUGCAAAAAAAACCUUUUAGCAGUACACUUCAGAUCAUGAUAUAUUCAUUUCUCAAGAGAGCUGAAAAAGAGCGGUAGUUUUAUUCAGGGAGUAUUUGACAAAAAUCUCUAAUGGCACCAAUUUACUGUGGAUGUGAUCCCACUGCAGUCUUGUGGUCACCGACCAAAAGGGCUGUUUACAUCUCCUAAAAAACACUGGUUUGAGGAGACUGACAGCAGCUUUAGAAGCCAAAUGGUGACCACACCGAGCAGUGAGGAUUUAAAUCAUUGCAGCAGUCUAGAAAGUGGCAAUGGUUAAUUAACAUGAAGAUCCAGUGUGCUACAGGAGGAUGUGUGGUAUCUCAGACACAGACUGUUGCACUUUGCAGUGUUAACAGGAAAAAAGUAAUUCCUCCUGCUGUGGGACUGAGUGGGUGAAGAGCUCUGGACUGUGUUGUGUGGGAUACUGUGACAGAGUAUUUUCAAACAUCUCCCUGCUUUAGAAUCUAUGGAUUAACGUAUCACUCAUCUGAUUCCACCAGGUUGCUUAAGGGAAUCCUGGCAACCAACUUUGGGAAUCUUUUAGAGCAACAUGUCAGCCAAAUCAGGCCUGGUUUGUGUAAAAGGAAGAGUUUGGCACCAAACCUCAGGGAGUCCAAAUGAGAAUAGCAAAAAAACUGAAAUGCUUUUUAUUUCUCUAACAAAUGGCAAAGUUUGCCAUAGGAGCUGCAAUUUCUCUUACGUUCAUAAAUACUGUUCAGAAGCUGUACACAAACUGGAGUCAAACAUGCACAGACGUGGGGGGAAAGGAGGGGGAAAUAAGGACUUUCACCACAGGGUCAUAUAUCCACUUGUGUAAGAAAUCACUCAAGAGGGCAACAGCAAUGAUGAAUUUUCAUUCCUACCUCCUGGCAGGGCAUCUCCACCCUCUCUUUACACCGUAGACAUGUGGAAAGGAGGAACAAGAAUACCUCAGACUACAUUUCCACCAUAAACAAAUAAUUCAAGCUAUUUUAGUGAGUUGCUCUUGCCACCAGGUACUUUAUCUCCUUGAUAAACACCAUCACCACUAAAGUGUCAUUUUUUUCUUAUGAGUUUCAAGCCAGGCAGAAAAGCUCUAACAG
ensembl:lncRNA